rnacentral:rRNA from 1 species
UACGUGAGGGUGCAAGCGUUAAUCGGAAUUACUGGGCGUAAAGCGUGCGCAGGCGGUUUUGUAAGUCUGUCGUGAAAUCCCCGGGCUCAACCUGGGAAUUGCGAUGGAGACUGCAAGGCUAGAAUCUGGCAGAGGGGGGUAGAAUUCCACGUGUGAGCAGUGAAAUGCGUAGAGAUGUGGAGGAACACCGAUGGCGAAGGCAGCCCCCUGGGUCAAGAUUGACGCUCAUGCACGAAAGC